GACGAACGCUGGCGGCGUGCUUAACACAUGCAAGUCGAACGGUGAAGCGCCUUCCUUUUUGGUGGGUGUGGAUGAGUGGCGAACGGGUGAGUAACACGUGAGUAACCUGCCCCCUUCUUGUGGAUAACCGCAUGAAAGUGUGGCUAAUACGGGAUAUUCUGGGUCUGUCGCAUGAUGGGUCUGGGAAAGAUAUUGUUUCGGUGGGGGAUGGGCUCGCGGCCUAUCAGCUUGUUGGUGGGGUGAUGGCCUACCAAGGCGGUGACGGGUAGCCGGCCUGAGAGGGUGGACGGUCACACUGGGACUGAGACACGGCCCAGACUCCUACGGGAGGCAGCAGUGGGGAAUAUUGCACAAUGGGCGCAAGCCUGAUGCAGCGACGCCGCGUGAGGGAUGGAGGCCUUCGGGUUGUGAACCUCUUUCGCCAGUGAAGCAGGCCUGCCUCGUUUGUGGGUGGGUUGACGGUAGCUGGAGAAGAAGCGCCGGCUAACUACGUG
rnacentral:rRNA from 1 species